AGAGAUGUGUGAUGACGCAUAUCAAUAAGCGGAGGAAAAGAAACUAACAAGGAUUCCCUUAGUAACGGCGAGUGAAGCGGGAAGAGCUCAAAUUUGAAAUCUUCAAGGUUCUACCUUGACGAAUUGUAGUUUAAAGAAGUGUUUUCUGUUAGUGGAGUGGCAGAAGUUCUUUGGAAUAGGACAUCAUAGAGGGUGAGAAUCCCGUAUUUGGUCAUUCCUUCUAGCUUUGUGAUACACUUUCAAAGAGUCGGAUUGUUUGGGAAUGCAGCCCAAAAUGGGUGGUAAAUUUCAUCUAAAGCUAAAUAUUGGCGAGAGACCGAUAGCGAACAAGUACCGUGAGGGAAAGAUGAAUAGAACUUUGAAAAGAGAGUUAAACAGUACGUGAAAUUGUCAAAAGGGAAGCGUUUGACACCAGUGUUGUUUUUCCGAAAAUCAAUUACGAAUGUUUUGUUUUUGAGAAGUUAUGACUUCAUCGGCUUGCUUCUCUCUUUACGAAACUUUCUUAAUGCACUUUUCGGUUAACAAGUCAACAUCAAUUUCUUUUGUUGUAAAAGGGUAUGAGGAAGGUGGCUUUCUUUUCGGAGAAAGUGUUUAUAGCCUUGUACCUCUGCAAUCGGAGAGAUUGAGGUCUGCAGCGUAGAUCCUUCGGGGUUAGAUACAUUUGUGCUAAGUUAUAGCUUUUCAUAGACAACUUGUUGACUAUGUUUAGUCUUGUAGCUUACUCGCUUAUUCUAUUUUACCUACGCUUAGGAUGUUGAAGAUGUAGCACAUCAU
rnacentral:rRNA from 1 species